GACGAACGCUGGCGGCGUGCUUAACACAUGCAAGUCGAACGGAAAGGCCCUGCUUUUGUGGGGUGCUCGAGUGGCGAACGGGUGAGUAACACGUGAGUAACCUGCCCUUGACUUUGGGAUAACUUCAGGAAACUGGGGCUAAUACCGGAUAGGAGCUCCUGCUGCAUGGUGGGGGUUGGAAAGUUUCGGCGGUUGGGGAUGGACUCGCGGCUUAUCAGCUUGUUGGUGGGGUAGUGGCUUACCAAGGCUUUGACGGGUGGCCGGCCUGAGAGGGUGACCGGCCACAUGGGGACUGAGAUACGGCCCAGACUCCUACGGGAGGCAGCAGUGGGGAAUAUUGCACAAUGGGCGGAAGCCUGAUGCAGCAACGCCGCGUGCGGGAUGACGGCCUUCGGGUUGUAAACCGCUUUCGCCUGUGACGAAGCGUGAGUGACGGUAAUGGGUAAAGAAGCACCGGCUAACUACGUG
rnacentral:rRNA from 1 species